AUGCUUAGCACAGCGUUUGACUCCUGUCAUUCCCCUCUAAUGUCCUAUAUAGCUCAAGCACCACAAGUGCAGAUGCUUUUUUUUUUUUUUCUUAUCAGUAUGCUUCAGGGAAUUCAGAACAACCUAUUGCCCCAUGCUGCAAUGAUUUCUGGUUGUCCAAGCUCUUUCUCCAGACGAGUUGAGGACAUUGCACAGAAAGAGUUCUAUCUGACAGCAAGUGCUUGGCCUUCCUGUGAGAGCUGACCUGUGGUUAAGGGAUUCCAGUGCUUAAGAAAAACCACCAGCGAGUGCCUGACUCCCAGUGCCACCACAGACUGGCAGGGCAGUCUGGUUGCAACCUUCUGAGGGGGUUAAUCCACAAUAUCUCUAGUGGAUGUUGCUUUGGAGCCUGUUCUGUGUUAGGGCUUUCUGAGGACAACUUCUGCCUUGCUGUAGGAUGCCCUGGUUCCAGCAGCCCUGUUUGUGCCCACUGGAUGGUUACGGCUGCCUGAGCACACGGAGGUUGGGAGACCUUGGCAGAAGGAUGUUUGUCUGAUGUAUUUACCCAGGAGCAGAUGAGCUCAUUGCAGGCAUCUGCCCAGCAGCCAUCAUGCUGCCUGCAUGGUUCCUUAGGAUAUUAAUUAACAGCAGUGCAGAAAAUGUGGUGCCUCUUCUGCACUGUCUUCUCCUGUGAGGAGGCUGAAAUUUUAGGCACUUUCCAAAACAUAAAGCAAUAAGUCGGUCUUAAUGUGGUCUUUCCUUUGCAUAGUAUCUUGCUCUUACUCAGCUCUGGCAGAUACCUGGUCUGCUCUUCCAGCCCCUUGCUUCUGCACUGUACCCAAAAGCUGUUCCAAUUUUCUUACCUCCCCGUAAGGUUUCCUUUCAUUUGCUUCUGUUGCUUUUCUUAUCACUUUUUAUGCUUUCAACUUCAUUAUGCAAUUGUUCCAACCGUGUUCAGUAUUUGAUGUUUUAUAACUCGUGUCUGCCUCUUUCCCCCAUUGUUGAUUACUUUUACACUUCUGUUCCUUCACACUGGCUUUAAAAAUAAAAUACAAAAAAACAACUUGAACA
rnacentral:lncRNA from 1 species